rnacentral:lncRNA from 1 species
AAUGUUUGUUCUGUUAUUGUUUAGAAGUCGGAGUUUUCCACGAAAUAGACACGUUAAUUCUCAGACCUCCUGGAACAUGAUCAAUCCUAAGGCAGGAAAUAAAGACUAAGGACAUGGGGCUUAGGUUGAAGUGUGGGGGAGAUAACUGCCUCCUUGAUCUGAACCUCAAGGAUUUGUAGAAUGAAGUAUCUUCCCACUGCGGGGAGGCAGGCUGGCCGUUCCUCCAUGGCAGCAGUAGAGAGCAAUGUAGAAGUCAAACCCAGAGACUGGGGAAUCUGGGCAAAGAACCUUCAGACCUGUAGAUGGGCUCUUCUUGGACAUUCUGGAGUCCCUGGGGGAAAGGGAAGUCUGCAGCUCAGUUGGCC